rnacentral:rRNA from 1 species
UAAGGAAUAUUGGACAAUGGAGGCAACUCUGAUCCAGCCAUGCCGCGUGAAGGAAUAAGGCCCUAUGGGUUGUAAACUUCUUUUGGACGGGACAAAACCCCUUUACGUGUAAAGGGUUGAUGGUACUGUCAGAAUAAGCAUCGGCUAACUUCGUGCCAGCAGCCGCGGUAAUACGAAGGAUGCAAGCGUUAUCCGGAAUUAUUGGGUUUAAGGGGUGCGUAGGCGGACUAAUAAGUCAGUGGUGAAAGCCUGCAGCUUAACUGCAGAAUUGCCAUUGAUACUGUUAGUCUUGAGUACAGUUGAGGUAGGCGAAAUUUGUCAUGUAGCGGUGAAAUUCUUAGAUAUGACGCAGAACACCGAUUGCGAAGGCAGCUUGCUAAGCUGUAACUGACGCUGAGGCACGAAAGCGUGGGGAGCAAA